rnacentral:rRNA from 1 species
CACGUAGGGGGCGAGCGUUGUUCGGAAUUACUGGGCGUAAAGCGCGCGUAGGCGGCUUUGCAAGUCGAGUGUGAAAUCCCCAGGCUUAACCUGGGAACUGCAUUCGAGACUGCAUAGCUAGAGUAUGGGAGAGGGAAGUGGAAUUUCAGGUGUAGCGGUGAAAUGCGUAGAUAUCUGAAGGAACGUCAGUGGCGAAAGCGACUUCCUGGACCAAUACUGACGCUCAUGUGCGAAAAGCGUGGGGAGCAAACAGG